CAAUAGCGUAUAUUAAAGUUGUUGCAGUUAAAAAGCUCGUAGUUGGACUUGUGGUGGUUCCUGGGGUCCAAUCUUGGUACCUCUGAGGACUGCCAUCCUUGGGUGGAUCUCGUGUGGCAUUAGGUUGUCGUGCGGGGGAUGCCCAUCGUUUACUGUGAAAAAAUCAGAGUGUUCAAAGCAGGCUUAUGCCGUUGAAUGUAUUAGCAUGGAAUAAUGAGAUAGGACCUUGGUACUAUUUUGUUGGUUUGCGCACCGAGGUAAUGAUUAAUAGGGACAGUUGUGGGUAUUCGUAUUCCAUUGUCAGAGGUGAAAUUCUUGGAUUUCUGGAAGACGAACUAAUGCGAAAGCAUUUACCAAGGAUGUUUUCAUUAA
rnacentral:rRNA from 1 species